UACGUAGGGGGCUAGCGUUGUCCGGAAUCAUUGGGCGUAAAGCGCGUGUAGGCGGUCCGGUAAGUCCGCUGUGAAAGUCGGGGGCUCAACCCUCGGAUGCCGGUGGAUACUGUCGGGCUUGAGUACGGAAGAGGCGAGUGGAAUUCCCGGUGUAGCGGUGAAAUGCGCAGAUAUCGGGAAGAACACCCGUGGCGAAGGCGGCUACUCUGGGACGGUACUGACGCUGAGACGCGAAAGCGUGGGGAGCGAACAGG
rnacentral:rRNA from 1 species